AUUGAACGCUAGCGGCAGGCUUUACACAUGCAAGUCGAACGAGUGGCGGACGGGUGAGUAAUGUCUCGGAAACUGCCCAAUAGCGGGGGAUAACUACUCGCAACGGUGGCUAAUACCGCAUACCAUCGGAUGUGCCCAUAUGGGAUUAGCUAGUUGGUGGGGUAAUGGCUCACCAAGGCAACGAUCCGUAGCUGGUUUGAGAGGAGGACCAGCCACACUGGGACUGAGACACGGUCCAGACUCCUACGGGAGGCAGCAGUGGGGAAUAUUGGACAAUGGGCGAAAGCCUGAUGCAGCCAUGCCGCGUGUAUGAUGAAGGCCUUCGGGUUGUAAAGUACUUUCGGCAGAGAAGCGGUACCCGCAGAAUAAGCACCGGCUAACUCCGUGCCAGCAGCCGCGGUAAUAC
rnacentral:rRNA from 1 species